GUCACGAUAGCUCAAGUGGUAAGAGCAGAGGUGUUUUGAACCGAAGGUCGCGGGUUCGAAUCCCGCUCGUGACA